AUAAGAUCUUUGUAUACAAGUUUAUUUUUUUUUUGUUCAAAUCAAGGCACAUUACUCAAACAAACUACAUGUCAACCAAUGUCAACCAUUCUUCAACCAAAUUGGAAAAACAAAGGUCUGUGGAAACUGAAAUGGGCGAUAUGAUUGUUAGAAAAGAAAAAUGACACCAAGUCAUUCAAACAUAAUUGUGAAACACAAACAGCAUGACUUGACAUCAAUACAUUCUCAAGCAAUGACAUUAGAAAUACAAAAACAAAUUAUUCACAUUUUGAAUUAUAUAAAAUAAAAACAACUAGUGAUUACCAUUGUUGCUAUAGUUACAGAUAACACUAUUUAUACUGAUUCUGUUUCAUGACAUGUUUCUUUUAAAAUCAGAUGAAACAAGUGCCUGGCAGACAUUGAAAUGAAAAAGAAGGAAUGGAGCUUUUUUUUUUUUUAAAAAAAA